UAUUACUAUCCUCGAUAAUGUCCUACCCUAUUGCUCACAGCAAAAACCAUAACUUUCUCAGCAAAAACACUAGCCACAACACCACUACCGUAUUCCACCCAAAUUUUCACAUUAGUUUUAAUUCUGUCUCCAGCCUCCACACUGGGAGUCAAUCCAUCUUCAGUUCCAACACCAAUCCCCACAACAGAACCUUCCCCAACAUCGUCUCCAAUAAUGUCCUCAACACCCCAACCCACGGCAUCAGUAGUUCCAACACACAUGUCUACAUCACAACCCAGCACCACACCAGCUCUUUUAUCAACUUCACCUUCUGAGCUCAGUAGAACUCCACAUUCAACACCAACCACAGCCUUAGAGCCCACAACACCAGCUCUAUCAUCAUCAGCCCCCUCAAGCUCCACCACAUCCCCAGAUCAACCAUCAUCAUCCAACCCCACCACAAUUACACCUCAAACAUCAACCACCCUAACACCAGCUCUAUCAUCAUCAGCCCCCUCAAGCUCCACCACAUCCCCAGAUCAACCAUCAUCAUCCAACCCCACCACAAUGACACCUCAAACACCAACCUCAACACUAGAAUUGACUGCAUUAUCUUCAGCAUCAACAUCAAUACUACAAACCACCACAACACCAUCUCUAACAGCAGCCUCUACUUUAGGCUCCACCACACCACCAGAUCAACCAUCAACAUCAGAACCCAUCACAGCAUCACCUCAAACAUUCACUUCAACAUCACAGUCUACGGCACAAUCUUUAUCCUCAGACUCAGUGACAAUCACAACACAGGCUUCAUCGUCUGUCUCUACCUUCCCUUCAUCUACACCAGCAGGUCCAACUCAAACAUCUGUUUCUGUAUCCGCCACAACACCAGCUUUAUCAUCAUCAGCCCCCUCAGGCUCCACCACAUCCCCAGAUCAACCAUCAUCAUCCAACCCCACCACAAUUACAUCUCAAACACCAACCUCAACACUAGAAUUGACUGCAUUAUCUUCAGCCUCAACCUCAAUACUACAAACCACCCUAACACCAGCUUUAACAGCAGCCUCUACCUUAGGCUCCACCUCACCACCAGCACAACCAUCAACAUCAGAACUCAUCACAGCAUCACCUCAAACAUUCACUUCAACAUCACAGUCUACGGCACAAUCUUUAUCCUCAGACUCAGUGACAAUCACAACACAGGCUUCAUCGUCUGACUCUACCUUCCCUUCAUCUACACGAGCAGAUCCAACUCCAACAUCUGUUUCUAUAUCCGCCACAACACCAGCUCUAUCAUCAUCAGCCCCCUCAAGCUCCACCACAUCCCCAGAUCAACCAUCAUCAUCCAACCCCACCACAAUGACACCUCAAACAUCAACCUCAACACUAGAAUUGACUGCAUUAUCUUCAGCCUCAACAUCAAUACUACAAACCACCACAACACCAUCUCUAACAGCAGCCUCUACUUUAGGCUCCACCACACCACCAGAUCAACCAUCAACAUCAGAACCCAUCACAGCAUCACCUCAAACAUUCACUUCAACAUCACAGUCUACGGCACAAUCUUUAUCCUCAGACUCAGUGACCAUCACAACACAGGCUUCAUCGUCUCUCUCUACCUUCCCUUCAUCUACACCAGCAGGUCCAACUCCAACAUCUGUUUCUGAAUCCGCCACAACCCCAGUUCCAUCUACACCAAAUUUAACAGCAACAUCAGCAAAUCUAGAAACAAACGCCACAGCACUCACAUCCACAAAUGGAGUGUUCAAGCAAUCAUCAACUCAAGCUGCCACAACAAUGAUGGAAAAUGCAACUUCAGCCCCAGCAUCACAGCCCAACACAACAGCUGCAACAAUGACACCAACAGCAGGUACCACAAGUCUUGUGACACCAUCCAGAAGUUGAAAAUGUUUAAAAUCUAUUUUAGAACAUGGGGACUUUACAAACUCUAAUAAUCCCUUCAGAUACUACCCCUUUACACAGAAAAGAGGAUGUAUGUUAAUUCAAUUGAAAUCCACUUGAGAAUACAGUCAAC
rnacentral:lncRNA from 1 species